GCUGGUGUGGCUCAAUGGUAGAGCAUCUGACUUGUAAUCAGACGGUUGUUGGUUCGAUUCCGACCACCAGCUCCA
rnacentral:tRNA from 1 species